rnacentral:rRNA from 1 species
UACGUAGGGGGCAAGCGUUGUCCGGAUUUAUUGGGCGUAAAGAGCUCGUAGGCGGCUCAGUAAGUCAGGUGUGAAACCUCCAGGCUCAACCUGGAGACGCCACCUGAUACUGCUGUGGCUAGAGUCCGGUAGGGGAGCGUGGAAUUCCUGGUGUAGCGGUGAAAUGCGCAGAUAUCAGGAGGAACACCAGCGGCGAAGGCGGCGCUCUGGGCCGGAACUGACGCUGAGGAGCGAAAGCAUGGGGAGCGAACAGG